rnacentral:rRNA from 1 species
UACGUAGGUGGCAAGCGUUGUUCGGAAUUAUUGGGCGUAAAGGGCGCGUAGGCGGUCUUGUAAGUCAGCUGUGAAAGCCCGGGGCUCAACUCCGAGCCUGCUUCCGAUACGGGCAGACUAGAGGUAGGCAGGGGAGAGCGGAACUCCUGGUGUAGCGGUGGAAUGCGCAGAUAUCAGGAAGAACACCGGUGGCGAAGGCGGCUCUCUGGGCCUUACCUGACGCUGAGGAGCGAAAGCGUGGGUAGCGAACAGG